CCGUUUUACAAAACCUUUUUGAGCAAACUCAACUUUGCGUGAAAGCCCUCUCCAGUACCUUCAUUUUGGCGUUGGUUUCACUUCAAAUGACCUAAUGAAAUUGAAAUGGUUCACAGAUCAAGAUCUGGUCAGAUCUGACUUUGUCGAAUUAAACCAGGAGCUUGGAAACGAAUUUUUGAAUGAAACCAGUUGGGGGUACUUAGCUUGUGCCAUGGUGAUACCGAGAGAGGCAAUUGCUAAGUUGUGAUACUCUCAUACCUUUACUAGAUGCGAACGAUUCCGGAGAAGAUGAAGAAGUGGAUCGGACAAGGAUUUUAUUUAUGUUGUUGGGAUUCUUAUAUUGAUGGAGUUGAAGAAGUCCAGGGACAUUUAAGCUAA